rnacentral:rRNA from 1 species
GACGAACGCUGGCGGCGUGCUUAACACAUGCAAGUCGAACGGAAAGGCCCUGCUUGCAGGGUACUCGAGUGGCGAACGGGUGAGUAACACGUGGGUGAUCUGCCCUGCACUUCGGGAUAAGCCUGGGAAACUCGGUCUAAUACCGGAUAGGAGCCAUUUUUAGUGUGAUGGUUGGAAAGUUUUUUCGGUGUAGGAUGAGCUCGCGGCCUAUCAGCUUGUUGGUGGGGUAAUGGCCUACCAAGGCGGCGACGGGUAGCCGGCCUGAGAGGGUGGACGGCCACAUUGGGACUGAGAUACGGCCCAGACUCCUACGGGAGGCAGCAGUGGGGAAUAUUGCACAAUGGGCGCAAGCCUGAUGCAGCGACGCCGCGUGGGGGAUGACGGCCUUCGGGUUGUAAACUCCUUUCGCUAGGGACGAAGCUUUUUGUGACGGUACCUAGAUAAGAAGCACCGGCUAACUACGUG